UACGUAGGGGGCGAGCGUUAAUCGGAAUUACUGGGCGUAAAGCGUGCGCAGGCGGCUUUGCAAGACAGAUGUGAAAUCCCCGGGCUCAACCUGGGAACUGCAUUUGUGACUGUAUAGCUAGAGUACGGUAGAGGGGGAUGGAAUUCCGCGUGUAGCAGUGAAAUGCGUAGAUAUGCGGAGGAACACCGAUGGCGAAGGCAAUCCCCUGGACCUGUACUGACGCUCAUGCACGAAAGCGUGGGGAGCAAACAGG
rnacentral:rRNA from 1 species